GUCCGCGUGGUGUAGUGGUAUCAUACAUGCUUUGGGGGGCUAUUCAGCCAUAGUCUCUCCAAAGAGAGAUCUUGACAAUGCAUGAGGUCCUCGGUUCAAACCCGGGCGCGGACU